AAAGGUCGUGCCUGCUCACUGAUUUAUUAAAGAGCCGCGGUAUUUUGACCGUGCAAAGGUAGCAUAAUCAUUAGUAUAUUAAUUGUAUACUGGAAUGAAAGGUUUGACGAGAAAUAUACUGUCUCUAUUAUAUUUUUAUAAUUUUACUUUCUAGUUAAAAGGCUGGGAUUUUUUUUUUGGACGAUAAGACCCUAUAGAGUUUGAUUUUAAAUAUUUUAUUAUUUUGGGUUAAGCUAUUAAUAAUUAAUUUUAUUGUUAGUUUUGUUGGGGUGAUGUGAAUAAUAAUUAAACUGUUCAUUAUUUUUAUCAUUGAUUUAUGUUUUUUAUGAUCUUGUAUUAUUGAUAUAAAGAUAAAAUUACCUUAGGGAUAACAGCGCAAUUAUCUUUGAGAGUUCUUAUUGACAAGAUAGAUUGUGACCUCGAUGUUGGAUUAAGAUUAUUUUUUAGGUGAAGGUGCUUAAUUUAGUUGGUCUGUUCGACCAUUAAAAUCUU
rnacentral:rRNA from 1 species